rnacentral:sRNA from 2 species
CACCACCAAACUCCUCCGCUGCACGCGCGCAGACGCCCCUGGCACUCAAUGGGCCCAAAACUGACCCGUGCCGCUACUUCCGCCCUAAGCACAACAGGAGCAAAGCGUAAAAUACCCCUCUCUGACUCCUCAGCGCGAAAGCGCGCCAGAACAUACGAUGCCCGCUCCCUUGCCGUACAGGGCUCUGACGCCGCGCUCUCCAAGACCGGCGAACUGGAUGUGUCGGCCUUUGUAGCGGCGCGGGAGUUCGAAAUCCGCGCGCUGGAGGCGGGCAUCCGCAAUUCGAAAGCGGCAUUGGCGUCAAGGGCCUUUCAGCAGGUCCCGAGGAACUUGAGGAGGAGGACGGCUAGCCAUAAUGUUAAGAGGGUGCCGAGUCGGUUGAGGGCAAGGGCAAGGAGGGAGAUGAUUGAGGAUAAUACACCGACAGUCACAGCUCGGCGACGCAAGCCUACGAAGCUCCUACGCUUGCGAUUAGAGACUGCUAGACGACUUCAGAAUCUCAAUUCCCGUUCCAAAGCUAGACGGGCCGCGAGAAAAGCUGCAGGGUUGUUUCAAGAUCCCGCCCUUGAGGUAGAGGUGGAAGGGGAUGGGGGCAAUAAAAAAAGAAAACCCUGUCAUGACAUAAACAUAGCGCCCCGCAUACCCAAAAUUAAGAAAAACCGACUCUCCCAUCCCGAAAAGCCGCAGUCGAAGUUCAAAAAGCGCCAACGGUGCAAAUCUUGGCUUCCAACCCAUAUGUUCCACGCUAAGAGAGCACACAUGACAAGCCCCAAGGAGCCGCUGUGGAGAUUUGUGGUACCACUAAGCCCCACGGAGAAGAGUUAUAGACCUACGCAUAGGGCUAGUGGCGCGAGAGGUGCGGUUGUAUGGGACAUGAGUUAUAUCUCGACGAUUGGCUUGGAAGGGGUCGAGGCAAGCUUGGAAGGACUGUUUAGGGUUUUGGGUGUUUGCGGGGAAGAGGCAUGGGGAAAUAAAGGGAGGAAGUGGAGGACUGGGACGAGAAGCUUGGAAGUUUGGCUGUUUGAGAGGGAAGUGGGAGCGGAAGGGGGGGGAAGCGGAAGACCUAUUGCCCCUGUUACUCUUGUCUGGUGCGUGGAGAAGACAGCCAAGACGAGCGGAGAUGGGGAUGUCGAGAUGCCUGAUGCUGGGAAGAAGCUGAAGAAGCCUAGGCGGAAGAUGUUCUUAAGAGUUCAUCCGUCAGCUUUCUUGCAAGUGUGGGAGGAGUUGUUGAAAGCAGCGAAACUACAGAACCCGCAAGUUAUGAUCGAGGAUCUUAGAUUUGAUAUUGGAAGUAUCGAUGUCACUGGGCCCGCUGCAACGGAGAUCUUGCUUGCCGCUCUCAAGCCCAUACCACCACCCGAGGGGGAAAAAUGGCCUGAGGGCUCUCCUGAAGCAACGUGGGAUUCUCUUUCGGGUCUCACGAAUGCAGCGUCACUUCCGCAAAACGCUGUCCUAGCUUUCAAUAUAUCCGACCCUCGCCUCCGCCAUCCCCUUCGAACCAUUCAGCCUCCGACUUCAGAGUCCUGUUUGAAUGAACUCGCGAUCACCCUCUCGUCAUGGACACCUGACUCUACACAACUUAAACCAGACAUAUUUUCUCGCCCCGCGCGACUAACAGCCUCCCGGCUUCUACCUAGCCAAAAAGCUAUAAACCGCCGGAAAUCCCUGGCUAAUCCGGGCGAGUAUCCCUCGCCAAAACCUACAGAUCCGUGCAUUCCAGUCCUUAUCCUCGCGUCACGGCCAAAAUCUUUAUCCAACGGAGGAAACUCCCAGGGUACCUACACAGUGCUCUUGCCGUGGAAAUGUGUUGUGCCUGUCUGGUAUUCGGUCAUGUACUACCCACUAUCCUCUGGUGGGAACCCUCGUUUCGGUGGCCUGCUGGAAAAGCAGCAACUUGCGUUCGAAAGUGGAGAGCCUUGGUUCCCAGGCGACUUUCCAGGGACAAACGCAGGAUGGGCAUGGGAGAUUCGUGAGAGGGACAUUCGACGCGGGGAAUGGGAGCGUAAACCAAAGGGGAAACGUGUCGAGUAUGAUAGCAUCGACAUAGGAGGUCUGAAGAAGGGAGAGAUUGGAGAGGGUUGGGCCUGCGAUUGGGAGCGGCUUGUUAAGCCUAAUAUCCCUAUAUCAGACGGGGAAUGUUCCAAACCCGACUCCACUACCAUUGUUGAAGUAAAGAAGGAUGCCCUGACAGCAGAAGAGACCAAUCAGCGGGAAACAAGCAAGGGAGAGGGCAAGAAGAAAGAAAAGCGGAAGAAUACAUCCACUCCGUCCACUUCCACCUCUACAUAUACACACACCAAGCCAUCACCGCCACCUCUCCACAUCCACCACCUCCCUUCCCUUCUCGCCUCUACAAUCCUCAAGAUAAAAACUACCCAAAAAUCUCCUGCCAAUCUCCCUGCCCGUCUGCAAUCCCUCCUCAUCCACCCCGCCCUCGCCACCGUAAACCUCACCCUCAUCAACCGCGGCACCCCAAUUCCGCGAGCCCGCCUCUACCGCCUCCCAACCACAAAUCCCUCCCUGCGCAACGACUGGCUAGCCCUCCUCGACCCCUCCGCGCGUACACCCAGCGCCCAGAAACAGAGCAAAAAGCAAAAUCAGCAGCAGGCCAUCCUGGCGCAAAACAGCAGCAAACUACUCCCCACCAAUCUCUCUGCUGACCCAGAACCGGCAGCCCACCUGCCCAUGCCGGGUGAGGAGGAUUUGAUUGGCUUUGUCACGACGGGGAAUUUUAAUUUGGGGCAAGGGAGGGGGACGGGUGUUGCCUCUAUUUUGGUUCAGAGGGUGGGUGUUUAUGAUGGUUCUAGCUCUAACCUUGAGUGCACAGCUGGCCCUUCUUCCGGAGAUAGUGACAUUAGUGGGAUUACGCGGGU